rnacentral:rRNA from 1 species
GAUGAACGCUGGCGGCGUGCCUAAUACAUGCAAGUCGAGCGAACGGACGAGAAGCUUGCUUCUCUGAUGUUAGCGGCGGACGGGUGAGUAACACGUGGAUACCCUACCUAUAAGACUGGGAUAACUUCGGGAAACCGGAGCUAAUACCGGAUGAUAUUUUGAACCGCAUGGUUCAAAAGUGAAAGACGGUCUUGCUGUCACUUAUAGAUGGAUCCGCGCUGCAUUAGCUAGUUGGUAAGGUAACGGCUUACCAAGGCAACGAUGCAUAGCCGACCUGUGAGGGUGAUCGGCCACACUGGAACUGAGACACGGUCCAGACUCCUACGGGAGGCAGCAGUAGGGAAUCUUCCGCAAUGGGCGAAAGCCUGACGGAGCAACGCCGCGUGAGUGAUGAAGGUCUUCGGAUCGUAAAACUCUGUUAUUAGUGAAGAACAUAUGUGUAAGUAACUGUGCACAUCUUGACGGUACCUAAUCAGAAAGCCACGGCUAACUACGUG